GACGUAGGGCGCGAGCGUUGUCCGGAUUUAUUGGGCGUAAAGAGCUCGUAGGCGGCUUGUCGCGUCGACUGUGAAAACCCGUGGCUCAACCAUGUGGUCUGCAGUCGAUACGGGCAGGCUAGAAUUCGGUAGGGGAGACUGGAAUUCCUGGUGUAGCGGUGAAAUGCGCAGAUAUCAGGAGGAACACCGGUGGCGAAGGCGGGUCUCUGGGCAGUAACUGACGCUGAGAAGCGAAAGCGUGGGUAGCGAACAGG
rnacentral:rRNA from 1 species